rnacentral:rRNA from 1 species
AGCAGCCGCGGUAAUUCCAGCUCCAAUAGCGUAUAUUAAAGUUGUUGCAGUUAAAAGCUCGUAGUUGAAUUUCGGGAUCAAUUUAUUGGUCGUGCAAUAGUACGUACUGGUAUUAUUGGUUCCUACCUUCUGAUGAACCAUGAUGUCAUUAAUUUGGUGUUAUGGGGAAUCAGGACUGUUACUUUGAAAAAUUAGAGUGUUUAAAGCAGGCUCACGCUUGAAUACAUUAGCAUGGAAUAAUGAAAUAGGACGUUUGAUUCUAUUUUGUUGGUUUCUAGGAUCGACGUAAUGAUUAAUAGGGAUAGUUGGGGGCAUUAGUAUUCAAUUGUCAGAGGUGAAAUUCUUGGAUUUAUUGAAGACUAACUACUGCGAAAGCAUUUGCCAAGGAUGUUCUCAUUAAUCAAGAACGAAAGUUAGGGGAUCGAAGACGAUCAGAUACCGUCGUAGUCU